CUGCCACCUCUCUUCUCUCCUACACUGUGCUGCAGAGUGAACCCAGGUCUUGCAUAUGCAAGGCAAGGGCUCUCCUUCUGGGCUACAGUCCCAGCCUAAUCCUUCAAUAUACUAAGAUCUUUGUAUAGGUCCUUGAUUUAGUCCUCAAAAUGAUCUUGUGUUAGUCCCACAUGAUAGAGAAAACUGUGGACUCAGAUUGGUUAGCAAAUCACUGAAAUUCACAGUGCUGAUGAAUAAGAGAACUGGAAUCUGACCCCAGGAAAUUCCUAUCUUUUCCAAGCUAAGACGUUUGGCCAUAUUGUCGUCUUCUCUCUUGAAUCGGUUUUGCCAAACUCUUCUGUCAUUGAAUGUGCUUAGUGUUGAACUAGCAUUCUUUGCUUCUUUUAUGAUGUUAAGUAAAAGGCAGUUCUGAGGUUCUGCCUCUGAGUCUCUGUAUCCAGUAACCGAGACAGACAAAUGGCACUGCUAUUAGUGCGUAUGUAGUAAAGCUAGGAGAACUAUAUGGAAUUGCCAACACUGCCCAUUUUUUUUGACUUUAUCAAAUGGCAUUUCAAAUGGUCAGGCUAAUGUUUGCCAAGCCCCUACUUACUUGGGUCCAAGAUUGGUUCCUGGCAUUUCUCUUAUGUUAUUUCCUUCAAUGUUCACAGUAAUCCGUCAAAGUAUUUUUACCUUAUCAGGAAACAGAUUGAUUCAGCAGCUGAGAAAUCAGACUCCAGCUGAUGUGGUCGAGCCAAGUUCAUGUUCCAGAUGGGUCCCUUUCCACUGCACAGCUCUGAAGGUUGAGUCCAGGAGCUAAGCUGGCAUCCAGUGGGUGAGGAGGCAGGGCUACAUCAAGUGGCAGACUGAAGUUACGUCAAUUUUGACAGGAAACGAGAAUGGGAGGCAGCUUCAGAGAGAAACCCACACAUCUGCAGACUCUUUCU
rnacentral:lncRNA from 1 species